AACCUAAUCACACGAGCACUUUAAAAGCUGAGAGUUUUUUCUGGCUGGUAGCAGGUCACAGAGAUUUGAAGCAUGCGAAGGUUUCAAUGCAAGAGAGAUAUUUUGAUGCUGGUUUUAAGAUGGAGGAGGCCACAUGGAAAGGCCCUGAGAGCAGCCUCUAGGAGCUCAGAGCAACCCCUUGCCAAAAAAACAUCAAGAAAACAGGCCCUCAGCCUUACAACUGCAAGGACUUAAAUUCUGCCAACCGCCUGAAUGAACUUGCAAGCUGCCUGUGUUGCACGAAUACACCUUUAUUUCUUGUUCCAUCAACUAAAGAUAGUAUCUCUUGACUGUUCACUUUCUAAGAUGAAGGUAACAGCAUCCCUCAACUUCUCUUCAGUGACUACCUCCCAACUUCUGCCAUAUGCAAUUUUAAGGAUAAGAACAUUUACAUUCUAUUCUUAAUUAACACUUCAAAUCCCUGGGAGUCCUAAAUACUAGAAUGUGCUGAUACCCCUGCUCCGUAGAUAGUCAAUUAUUAUUUUUUUAAGAGUGUAAAUUGAGAGUACCUUUCCUGGAUGAUGGAGACCUUGCUUCAGGGAUAGGAGUAAGAUGGGAAGACCCGGUUGUUCCACAUGCAGACUUUCAGUUAAUUCUAUUAUCAGCCUUGUGUCACACGUCCUCUGCCACAUUUGGUGUUGUCACAUCCUGAGCUUCUCUGAAAUUCAGCUAGAAAGAUCAGCCUCCUCCCACCUUAUGUCACUCCAUGUGUGCUCCAGAGAGUGGUCCCCAAACCUCCUGCCACUCCUUGGAUUGUUGCACCCCACUUGGGGAACCACCCAUCUAGAAUGUGACUUUUUCUUCCUUGGCAUCACAAAGCUAAUGGAUGCCAGAGCCUGGACACAAACCCGUUUUCGGAUUCCAAAGCUGAGGUUCCUGCCACCGACCACAGCGUUCUGGCAACUGCACAGUUAAGGUCUGAUAAAGAAGGAUGAGCAAUCUGGGCCUAUUUUUCAACAGACGUGAUGGAUUUGUUCAUCUUUAAGUGCUAAUAGUGCCUUAGGAUCUUAUUCUCUGCUUCAAAGGUUUCAAACUUCAAACACUUACAUAGGCCAGACAGGUCAAGGAAAGCAGCCACUGGGAGUGGGGAGCAGGGUGUACAGACCUCAUUCAAAGUAGCAGUCACUCCUCAGCUGUGGCCAGGUGCUGCCAUGCAGGGAUGCUGAACAACCAUAGCCUAAUCUUCCUAUUUUCUCAAGAAACGUCAAAAUCCAGAUUAUUAAGUGAUAUUA
rnacentral:lncRNA from 1 species